rnacentral:lncRNA from 13 species
AUGGUGUGGCUCGGGGCAGGCAGGAGGUUAAUGGUGUGGCUCGGGGCAGGCAGGAGGUUAAUGGUGUGGCUCGAGGCAGGCAGGAGGUUAAUGGUGUGGCUCGGGGCAGGCAGGAGAUUAAUUGUGUGGCUCGUGGCAGGCAGGAGGUUAAUGGUGUGGCUCGUGGCGGGCAGGAGGUUAAUGGUGUGGCUCGGGGCGGGCAGGAGGUUAAUGGUGUGGCUCAGGGCAGGCAGGAGGUUAAUGUUGUGGCUUGGGGCAGGUAGGGCGUGGCCCCUGGUCUCCUCUCCACUCAGCGUGGCAAUAGAUACACUGCCACAACGCAUAGUAGCCUACUGUAUGGCCUUUAAGGCUGACAACCAUUAGGCCACAACUGCAGGAAAGCAGAAUAACAGUUAAAUAUUUUAUCAGGUCAAUAAUUCAGCUGCUGCCGUGGGAGGCACAGAGAUAGGAGAAAGGUGAGAGCAAAGUAGUGAGGGAGGAAGGGAGAGAGGUAGCGGGAGCAAGGGAGAGAGGUAGAGUGAGCAUCAGACCCAAGAUGACAUUCCCCAGGAAGGGCCUGAUAACCAUGGUAACUGGAGCUGAAUGUCAUGAUGCAGAGUAGUGAAGGGGGGGGGGGGGACGACUAGUGAGCAAGCGACAGAGAAAGUUAGACUAUAAUGAAGUGGAGGGCUGGCAGCAGUGAGGGGUGUAGUACAUACAGUGAGGAGAACAAGUUUUUGAUACACUGCCAAUUUUGCAGGUUUUCCUACUUACAAAGCAUAUUUGUAAUAUCUGUAAUUUUUAUCAUAGGUAUACUUCAACUGCAAGAGACGGAAUUUAAAACAAAAAUCCAGAAAAUCACAUUGUAUGAUUUUUAAGUAAUUAAUUUGCAUUUUAUUGCAUGACAUAAGUAUUUGAUACAUUAGAAAAGCAAAACUUAAUAUUUGGUUAAGAAACCUUUGUUUGCAAUUACAGAGAUCAUACGUUUCCUGUAGUUCUUGACCAGGUUUGCACAACACUGCAGCAGGGAUUUUGGCCCACUCCUCCAUACAGACCUCCAGAUCCUUCAGGUUUCGGGGCUGUUGCUAGGCAAUACGGACUUUCAGCUCCCUCCAAAGAUUUUCUAUUGGGUUCAGGUCUGGAGACUGGCUAGACCACUCCAGGACCUUGAGAUGCUUCUUACGGAGCCACUCCUUAGUUGCCCUGGCUGUGUGUGUUUGGUCGUUGUCAUGCUGGAAGACCCAGCCACGACCCAUCUUCAAUGCUCUUACUGAGGGAAGGAGGUUGUUGGCCAAGAUCCCGCGAUACAUGGCCCCAUCCAUCCUUCCCUCAAUACGGUGCAGUCGUCCUGUCCCCUUUGCAGAAAAGCAUCCCCAAAGAAUUAUGUUUCCACCUCCAUGCUUCACGGUUGGGAUGGUGUUCUUGGGGUUGUACUCAUCCUUCUUCUUCCUCUAAACACGGCGAGUGGAGUUUAGACCAAAAGGCUCUAUUUUUGUCUUAUCAGACCACAUGACCUUCUCCCAUUCCUCCUCUGGAUCAUCCAGAUGGUCAUUGGCAAACUUCAGACGGGCCUGGACAUGCGCUGGCUUGAGCAGGGGACCUUGCGUGCACUGCAGGAUUUUAAUCCAUGACGGCGUAGUGUGUUACUAAUGGUUUUCUUUGAGACUGUGGUCCCAGCUCUCUUCAGGUCAUUGACCAGGUCCUGCCGUGUAGUUCUGGGCUGAUCAUUCACCUUCCUCGUGAUCAUUGAUGCCCCACGAGGUGAGAUCUUGCAUGGAGACCCAGACGGAGGGUGAUUGACCGUCAUCUUGAACUUCUUGAAUUGCGCCAACAGUCGUUACCUUCUCACCAAGCUGCUUGCCUAUUGUCCUGUAGCCCAUCCCAGCCUUGUGCAGGUCUACAAUUGUAUCCCUGAUGUCCUUACACAGCCUUCUAGUCUUGGCCUUUGUGGAGAGGUUGGAGUCUGUUUGAUUGAGUGUGUGGACAGGUGUCUUUUAUGCAGGUAACGAGUUCAAACAGGUGCAGUUAAUACAGGUAAUGAGUGGAGAACAGGAGGGCUUCUUUAAAGAAAAACGAACAGGUCUGUGAGAGCCGGAAUUCUUACUGGUUGGUAGGUGAUCAAAUACUUAUGUCAUGCAAUAAAAUGCAAUUUAAUUACAUAAAAAUCAUACAAUGUGAUUUUCUGGAUUUUUGACCUCUACAUGCUUUGUAAGUAGGAAAACCUGCAAAAUCGUCAGUGUAUCAAAUACUUGUUCUCCCCACUGUAUCUGAGUUGUGUGUUGUUUCAAUUCAGUGUCCAUCUAGAAAAGGCACUAUGUCUAUCUGUAAAUCAGAAGCGUCCCGUGGAGAGUAAUGACAUAACAAUCUAGUAUGUUCAGAAGUGGUGAGAGAGGGUGGGAGAGGUUUAAGAGUGGAUUGAAAAAAAACACACAGGGAAAGGGAGUGGUGAAGAAGGGACAGGUAGCGAAGGACAUUAGGGGUUGAGAUGGAAGGAGAUGGGAGAAGUAGGAAGCACAUGAGGGGUUGAGAGAAGGAGAAGGGAGAGGUAGUGAAGGACAUGAUGGGUUGAGAUAGAAGGGAGAGGUAGCAAAGGUCAUGAGGAUUUGAGAGAAGGAGAAGGGAGAGGUAGCGAAGGACAUGAGGGGUUGAGAGAAGGAGAAGGGAGAGGUAGCGAAGGACAUGAGGGGUUGAGAUAGAGGGAGA